rnacentral:rRNA from 1 species
GACGAACGCUGGCGGCGCGCUUAACACAUGCAAGUCGAACGGAAAGGCCUGCUUUCCCUUGUGGAUUGCGGGUACUCGAGUGGCGAACGGGUGAGUAACACGUGAGUGAUCUGCCCCCAACUUGGGUAUAAGCCUGGGAAACUGGGUCUAAUUCCCGAUAGGACUGCAGGGUGGUGCCUGUGGUGGAAAACGAUUUUCUAGUGGUUGGGGAUGAGCUCGCGGCCUAUCAGCUUGUUGGUGGGGUAAUGGCCUACCAAGGCGGCGACGGGUAGCCGGCCUGAGAGGGUGGACGGCCACAUUGGGACUGAGAUACGGCCCAGACUCCGACGGGAGGCAGCAGUGGGGAAUAUUGCACAAUGGGCGGAAGCCUGAUGCAGCGACGCCGCGGGGGGGAUGACGGCCUUCGGGUUGUAAACUCCUUUCGACCGCGAGGAAGCCACCUGGUUGGAAGGGUGGUGACGGUAGUGGUAGAAGAAGCACCGGCUAACUACGUG